AUACGGAGGGUGCAAGCGUUAAUCGGAAUUACUGGGCGUAAAGAGUACGUAGGCGGUUUGUUAAGUUAGAUGUGAAAGCCCCGGGCUUAACCUGGGAACUGCAUUUAAAACUGGCAAUCUAGAGUUGGGUAGAGGGAAGUGGAAUUUCAGGUGUAGCGGUGAAAUGCGUAGAGAUCUGAAGGAACACCAGUGGCGAAGGCGACUUCCUGGACUCAAACUGACGCUGAGGUACGAAAGCGUGGGUAGCAAACGGGAUUAGAAACCCCAGUAGUCC
rnacentral:rRNA from 1 species